rnacentral:rRNA from 1 species
UGCCAGCCGCCGCGGUAAUACGAAGGGUGCUAGCGUUGUUCGGAAUUACUGGGCGUAAAGAGCAUGUAGGCGGAUGAAUUAGUCAGAGGUGAAAGCCCCGAGCUCAACUUGGGAACUGCCUUUGAUACUGUUUAUCUAGAGUCCGAGAGAGGUUAGUGGAAUUCCCAGUGUAGAGGUGAAAUGCGUAGAUACUGGGAGGAACACCAGUGGCGAAGGCGGUCACCUGGACGGGUACUGACGCUCAUGUGCGAAAGCGUGGGGAGCAAACAGGAUUGGAUA